GGGGGCGGGGUGCGUCCUCCAGAACCUCUCUUUCCCAGCAGGGCUGAGGGACGGCCAUCUGCCCUUAAGUUGAGGGUGUGACAGUGGCUGUGGGACUUGACCUGGAGUCUUUGCGACCCACACUGUCUUAUUUGGGUGGGGCGUCCGUUUGAGGGGUGCUUAGGAGACAUGCCCCAUCCGCCCACCCCCAACACCCCGCACCAUCACCAACUCGGUCCUUCGAUGGCACUUGACUGAAUGUAGUAUCUGGCCUGUCCUACCACGUGCAAGGCAUGGUGCUCAGAGCGGUAGGAAGUACGGAGAUGAGUAGGAUCUUUACGUAAACUCACGAAGACGAAAGCGCAGCCCCUAACAGGUGCCCCUGACAGGUACCAAGGAGUGUCCUCUGCGGUUGUUCAAAGGCAGUCACCCUCCACUGUGAGGGUCGCCGGCGUGGGACACCGUGCACGCUCCUUAAGCGUUAGGGUUCAUCAUCUUCACCCCUGGUCAGCGUAAAUGGACUCAGGGUCCGGGAGUGGGAGAUAAAGUGUGGAAUUAAGGGUGUUCGUAUAUAUCCGCUUUGGUUCAAGUGCUUCUUCCCUCAGUGCGUUCCUGACGCUGGAAACAAAGAGCUUGAGUUUAAAUGGCUUCUCUCCUUUCCCGGAAAGGCCGGUGAGGAGUGGAGUGGGCUCUUACUUCCCACAUCUCCUCCUAAAGCUGAGAAAGAUCAGGGGCUGGAGGCCAGGCGAUGGGCCCUGCGUCCAGGAGCGGGGCACCUGGGCCACCUGCGCCACCUGCGCGGGUCCCAGAGGCUCAUAGGGUGUUCCCUGCAGGAUGUCUUGGGUCUCCAACCUGCUGAGGUGGCAUCUGGGAAGGAGAUGGGGGUUGCUAUUUCCCUAAGGUCUUCCCCAAGAAGCCCUUGUCGAGGAGUAUCUCUUAGGGAUAAGUUUUCAGAGGAAGAGAUGGAGUCCCCUUGGCUUUGUGGGGACCCGGUACAGCCCACUGCGAUGGCAGCUGUCCUUGACGCUUCUGAAAUCAGCCCGAGGCCAAGUGGAGUCACCUCGAAGAGCCAAGCUGGCCAGAGCCCACCACAGGGGAAGAGGAAGACAAGAGCUGGUUUCCUAGGUAUGGCGCCUGAGCUGUGCGCUCCCGAAGGCUGGGAGUAUGUGUGUGUGUGUGUGUGUGUGUGUGUGUGUGUGUGUGUGUGUGUAUACCUAUUUUUAAGGGAAUAUUUUCUGAAUUCCAGAAGCAUAUGUUUUGUUGUCAGGCCCUAAAUUAAUCACCAGUCUCUAUGAGGAAAUAGGUAAAAAAAACUAAGUUAAAAGUUCAGAUUUUAAAGAACUAAGUAUCAGUAGGAUUUUUUUUUUUUAGUAACAUUAAGUAAUGUUUAGACCUUUUCUGCACCAUUUCUUUAGCUGUCCUUGAACUGUUAACACAGAACCGGAGGGUCUCUCUCUCACACACACCCCCUCUGGUCUCAGAAGGGGCAGGAGGGCAAGAAAGCUCCAGAUGCCGCAGGAAGUCGGAGUUUCUCCUUCUGCCCGUGGCCAGCAACUGGCCUGAAAUUGGGUUUCUUUAGCCCAAGGCUUGAGUUGGUUGCCUAUUCCCAGUGAGGAAGACCGUGACAUUUAUUGAACAUAAUAAAGAAUAUGCAUCAAACACUGACAACGAUAUCUCCGGAGAAAGAGGGAAGUGAUGCGAGAUCAUGGAUUCUCUGCCCUGUUAGUCAUUCAGUGAGUAUUUGUCAAGAAUAUACUGGGAUUCCGUGUUGGGAACACAGCAGGAAACGGCUUGCUGGGUCCUGUUCUCAUACGCUUACAUUCUAAAUAAGAAAAAACUCAAGUGGGUGCCUGGGUGGCUCAGUGGGUUA